AGCAGAGCUGUGCCAAAGUACUUUGACAACAUCAAGCUACUGACUGUAUUUAGCACCUAACUUAUGAUCACGACUUUGCUCAUCAGCAUAAUGAAUAAAUACCUUUGUGAUAUAUAUCUUUUCUUUUUUUUUUUUUUUUUUUUUUUUUUCUUCAGAGAAAAGUGAUGGUGAGGUGGUAUUUCUGAUUUUUAUAUGAUAGAGGAUGUCAGAUACACAUUAGAAAGAUGAUUCAAUAUAUUGCAAGCCCUUCUCCAGCUACAGAAAUUCAAAGCACACUGGUUUCACUGUCUGAAGCAGUCCUUAGCCAUCUGACUCUAUGCUAGAGGAAGCCUGGACAAACAUUUCUGGAAGGACUAAAAUAGCUCAGUGAUGGAUGUUGGAGGUAACAAGGUUUCUGGGCUGGAAGGAAACUGCUGCUGUGAAAAGCUUGAAAUGAGUGAGCACCUGUUCUGGUAGGAGUGCUGCAACUGGGCCUUUCUUUGUCUCUCCUUUGUUCCUUCAUUACAAAAUCCUUUCUCACUCCGCACCUAGCCCCUGUCAGCAGUCCUGUGCACAAAGAAGACAGGCCUUCUCAUGUGAACAAGUACCUAUAUUUACGGGUUUCUGGGUAGCACCAGCUGUCCCUCUUGGCAAUACUGCUCUGCACUUUCCCCUACUGGAGUUCCAGUCUAAAGAAUGCACAGCUGAACCAUGGCAUUCCUGCU
rnacentral:lncRNA from 1 species